rnacentral:rRNA from 1 species
UACAGAGGUCCCAAGCGUUGUUCGGAUUCACUGGGCGUAAAGGGUGCGUAGGUGGUCGGGUAAGUCUGAUGUGAAAUCUCUGGGCUCAACCCAGAAAUGGCAUUGGAUACUAUUCGGCUAGAGGAGUGGAGGGGGGACGUGGAAUACUUGGUGUAGCAGUGAAAUGCGUAGAUAUCAAGUGGAACACCAGUGGCGAAGGCGAGUCCCUGGACACUUCCUGACACUGAGGCACGAAAGCGUGGGGAUCAAACAGG